rnacentral:rRNA from 1 species
UCCAGACUCCUACGGGAGGCAGCAGUGAGGAAUAUUGGUCAAUGGCCGAGAGGCUGAACCAGCCAAGUCGCGUGAGGGAUGACGGCCCUACGGGUUGUAAACCUCUUUUGCCGGGGAGCAAAGAGCGGGACGCGUCCCGCCUCGAGAGUACCCGGAGAAAAAGCAUCGGCUAACUCCGUGCCAGCAGCCGCGGUAAUACGGAGGAUGCGAGCGUUAUCCGGAUUUAUUGGGUUUAAAGGGUGCGUAGGCGGGCUUUUAAGGCAGGGGUAAAAAUUCGGGGCUCAACCCCGUCCGGCCGUUGAAACUGGCAGUCUCGAGUUGGAGAGAAGUAUGCGGAAUGCGCGGUGUAGCGGUGAAAUGCAUAGAUAUCGCGCAGAACUCCGAUUGCGAAGGCAGCAUGCCGGCUCCACACUGACGCUGAGGCACGAAAGCGUGGGUAUCGAACAGGAUUAGAUACCCUCGUAA